GAUUUUUUUUAUAUUUUUUUAUUUUUAAAAAUUAAACCAUUUUGCACCAUAUAUGAAUAAAGUCUCUAUUAUAGAUGAGGUAAUCUUCAAAGAAAAUAGCAUAGCUGCCUAUUCAUUGUGGCAGAGCCUCCCAUUUGAGGCCAACUGUGCCCAACUAAAUUGAAUAAUUCUUGUGGAAAAUGAAUGACAAACUGCCAGUUUCUACAUUUUAAAUAUCUUCUUUUAAUUAUUGAAGGCACCUAUGCCCAAAGAUUCUAAUGAACUUAAGUCUACAGAUUUGUAGUUGCUCAUUUUAUCAGUUGAUUACAGUUAUUCGGCUAUGAUUUGAUUUUAUACUCUUUUUAAUGCAUAUUUCUCAAAC
rnacentral:misc_RNA from 1 species